rnacentral:lncRNA from 1 species
UUUAAGUCCUGAAGAUUCUGAAAUAUUCCAAAGGAUUAGGAGUUUAAAAUUCUCUCUUCCUCAUGGAGGAAAACCAGGAGAUAUACAAAGAGGUAUCCUGCUAGAGGAUCCCAGGCUAACGAUGGAUUAGGGAAGAACAGAUGAUGUGUCCAAGCGAGGAGGACAUAAGAGAAGCAAGGUGCCAAAUAAAGAAUGAGAGGUCAAAUGGAAUACAAUUUGCUGACUGUAAGGGGGAGAGUUUUUUUCCCCAAAAUGCCAAAGUACAUAAAGAUAAAGGUGAAAGUUUCCUCUCA